CGGAGACACACAGGGAGGACUACACAUUACAAAGAAAAGUAGAGUUCAUCUCUGAGGAGAACAAAAGCAAACAUAUAGAACUGUAAAGAUAGCAGCCUGGAGUUUAUGUGAACAUCAGUGAAGCUGAAGUUCAGUUCAGGAUGAAGAUCCUCCUCAUCUUCACUCUCUGCCUGAUCUCAGCAUCCUACAGGAGCACAUCAACAGCACCAACAACAGCGUCAUACAGUACCACUUCAGCAGAACCACCAACAACAGCAUCUUACAGUACCAUUUCAGCAGAACCACCAACACCAGCAUUAACAGAACCAAUAGCAACAUCUUACAGGAGCACAUCAGGCAAAACAGCACACACUGGACAUUUCACUUCCUCUGUCAUCAUCACUGUAUGUGUCUGUGUAGCUCUGCUGCUUAUUGGAGGAUCAGCACUGAUCUACAAACUGAG